GGGGUUUUGGGGUCGCCCCCUGACACCCCCCCUCGUUCCAGGCCCAGCCCGGCCCCUCCAAGCCGCAGACGGAGCCCCCCCCCCCGCAGCCGCCGGCGGAGGAGCAGAGCAAAGAGGCGAAGAAGGAGAGCGGCGGCAGCAGCAGCAGCAGCAGCCGGAAGAAGCGGAGCCGGAGCCGGAGCCGGAGCCGCGACCACAGACACAGCCGCAGCCGGGACCGGGACCGGCGCCGCCGAUCCCGCAGCCGCGAGCGCCGGCGCGACGAGCGAUCCCGGUACCCGAUUUCCCCCUUUUUCGCCCCAAAAUGCCGGUUUUUUAACUACUCCCGUCCCUUUUUCACCGGUUUCUCCGCUUUCGGCCCCGUUUCAGCCGCCGCUUCGGGCACAGCAAGAGCCCGCUGUACCGGGAGAAGAGCCCCGUGCGGUGAGGGGGUCG
rnacentral:lncRNA from 1 species